UGUAAGGUGGCUUUUACCAAGAGGCUGC
rnacentral:sRNA from 1 species